rnacentral:lncRNA from 1 species
UAUAGCUAUGUUAUUAAGAUGUGGCAUUUCUUCCUUAGGAUAUAUAUAUAUAUAUAUAUAUAUAUUUUUUUUUUUUUCUUAAAGAUUAGCCCUGAGCUAACAUCUGUUGCCAAUCUUCCUCUUUUUUUUUUCCUUCUCCCCAAAGCCCCCUGGUACGUAGAUGUAUAUAUUUAGUUGUGGGUCCUUCCAGUUGUGGCAUAUGGGAUGCGGCCUCAGCAUGGCCUGAUGAGCGGUGCCGUGUCCACACCCAGGACUCAAACCGGCGAAACCCCGGGCCGCUGAAGUGGAGCACGCGAACUUAACCAUUUGGCCAUGGGGCUGGCCCUUCUUCCUUAGGAUAUAUUUUUAUAAGCUAAGUUGAUGGGAUUCCAUGGACAGAGAUCUGAUUGGAGCUCUCCUGCAGUCUCUUCCAGGUCCUGGGAUCCUCCUGUGACAUUGCUUGGAGAUACGCCCUGCUGGGAGGGCUUGCAUCAUGAAGGCGAGAUUUGGAGACUGAGGCCCCAAAGUGCAGGGAACCAGUGUCUGGAUGGGCGGGUGACCGAGAGGACUGGCUUUGCUGGAGACAUGUCCCGAUUCUGGGCGUGUGGUAUGUGCACGUGUGUAAAAUAGUGCCCCCUCGGCCGUUGCUGUGAGCAGAGGUGACGCAGUGCAGAAGAAGCCCCCAGAGCCCCUAGACACGAGCCCACCAUGGAAUCUUUGGACAGCCUUGUGGGUAGGUAUCAUUAUCCCCAUCUCCAGGUGACGACAUUAGGUGCAGGGAGGAGAAAUAAGGAGCUCAGGGCCACACAGCCACUAGGGACCAG